GAAAAUGAGCUGAGGAAAAAGCAGGAACAAGCUCUUAUGGAAAAACUGUUAGAGCAAGAAGCCCUGAUGGAGCAGCAGGAUCCAAAGUCUCCUUCCCAUAAAUCAAAGAGGCAGCAGCAAGAGUUAAUUGCAGAAUUAAGAAGGCGACAAGUUAAAGAUAACCGUCAUGUGUACGAGGGAAAAGACGGCGCCAUUGAAGACAUUAUCACAGCCUUAAAGAAGAAUAAUAUCACUAAAUUUCCAAAUGUUCACUCGAGGGUAAGGAUUUCUUCUAGCACACCGGUGGUGGAGGAUACACAGAGCUGAUCUUAGAAACCAACCCUACAGAAGAGCCGAUGCGGUGAGACGAAGUGUGAGGCGACGCUUUGAUGAUCAGAAUUUGCGUUCUGUUAAUGGUGGGGAAAUAACAAUGUGACCUGAGACCGCCUUCACGAGAAGGGUGUACAUGAAACUGCCAUUCCAGCCUUCAAUACAGAUGAAAUACUCUCAAGGGCUCAGAUUUAGUAAACAUAUAGGAAUUUAAAAAAUAAUGGGUUCUCCUUUUAACCCCUGUUAACAAGUGCCUAAAAUUGGAAGUAACUUGCUCAGAUUAAUCAAAGCAAUAGGAUUUGACUUAAAUCUUUUUACAUCAGUAUGUUACUCAGUUUUUUAACCAAAAUGUAAAUUUCAUAUUAAAUUCAUUAUUUGCCAUUGUGAUUGUCCUUUAUGGCCCACCCUGGUUUCCUGGUAAUCUGUAAAUAACAGGGAUGUGAAUGCUAUGGGCUUCCUUUGCUGAGAGGUCUUCUAAGAAAUUGUUUUCGAGCCAUAUUCACCAACUUGUAACAAGGGACUUGAAACAAGAGAGAGGGAAGCUGGUACACAAUAACAUCUUUCUACCAUUAAGUCCCAGCAACGUACAAACAGGAUGAAUUGCAGUGCCACUCCAAGUCAUUUAAUUCUCUUAUUUCACGCUGUUUCCGUGCAAGGGUAAUGCAUAAAAGCAUUCACUUGUAUGACUGCAAGAUGGCAUAAGACACUGAGUGAGACUUAUUUGCAGAACUGUGUUACUUGAGCUAGAGGCAGCUUUUAAUAACACCAAGUAUGUUUAUUAAGUACCACUAAAAUUGUCUCAGUAUUCUGAUUUUUGAGGACCAUUAUGGGUGAAUCCUUAAAAUAGAAAUUGGUGCCUUGUUAGUCAGGGAGAUUUUACCACAAGCUCUAUCAGUAAGCAUUCAAAAUUACAUGUGUUCUGUUAGUGUCAUGUUGGGAACCUGGCCUUAUUCUCUUCUGACAAUCGAAGGGUCCUUUUCUGUUUUCUUUGUAAAUUAUACUGAUACAAUUGACAUUAAGUUAUUAGGGCUGAAUUGCUUUGUGUACUUCUCACUUAUGGGAAAUUCCAAUUAAAUUAACAUUAAGUUUAAAUUGUAUGUGAUAGGGUUAAAUGGUUCACUAAGUCACUUACUUCCUCACUGGCAAGGCAUUUCGAUCCAUUCCAAAGUCAAAGACUGGACUGAAGCUAAAUUUGUACUUUUCACAAUACAUAUUCUGCUUCUGGCUUACCUUGUUGAUACAUCAGUAUAUUAAUUGUAAAAAUUAUUGUAUAGUAUUUAACCACCAAAUUUGUGUUCAUGUGAACCCCUUGGUGAAGGUCCCCUUUUUCAUGGAUGUGUAGUUAUAUGAUCUUUAAAAUGUACAGAUAUUUUGCUAUAAGAUUGGUGCAGUUUUUUAUGGUUUUUACACUUCUCUUUAAUCCCUACCUAAGCCUCUAGGUAAUACUGUAAAUAUUGUUUUAAAAUGCAUCAGCCUAUGCUACACAAUCUGAAUGUUACUUUAACUUAUAGUUUGUUUUUUAAAUAUAUAUAUUUAACUCCAAGGACAGUUUAAAAGUCAGUUACCACAUUUCACAGUAGUCUGCCUAUUUACAGAUCUCUUUUAAACUGCCACUUGCUGUCACAUUCAUAAAUGUGUAGUUUAAAAAGAACAUGCCAAGAUUGUUGUCUUGUUGAGUCAAUAUUCAUCUUGGUGAGUACAUUAAUUUGAUCAUGAUGUCAGAUAAAUAUUUGGACCUUUUUCACAAAAAUGAGCUGUUUUCCAAAGGUGUGCAUUUGCGUAAAGCAAACUGCCUAUUUCCCAGUGUACAAAUGGACAAUAAUGUUGGCAUAUUCUUGUUUGUCUAUUAAUGGCCCUGCUUCUUAGCAAUAUUAGAAAUGUUUUAUAAAAGCAAUUCAUGUUACUUUUCUGGUCUUUUCAUGCCAUUUGAGCAAAUAAACUAUUUACACUACUA
rnacentral:lncRNA from 1 species